CGGAAGGAAGCAGCAGCACGGGAUGCGGACGGGUCCGCCGU
rnacentral:SRP_RNA from 12 species